GGAUUAGGCAUGCAAGUCGAACGGGAAACCCUCCGGGGUUUCUAGUGGCGAAAGGGUGAGUAACACGUGAGCAACCUGCCCCCAAGUCCGGAAUAAGCGGUGGAAACGCCGUCUAAUGCCGGAUGCCGAAUGGCCCCCGCCUGGUGGCUUUUCGAAAGAUUUAUCGCUUGGGGAUGGGCUCGCGCCCCAUUAGCUGGUUGGCGGGGUAAUGGCCCACCAAGGCUACGACGGGUAGGUGGACUGAGAGGUCGGUCACCCACACUGGGACUGAGACACUGCCCAGACUCCUACGGGAGGCUGCAGUCGAGAAUCUUCCGCAAUGGGCGAAAGCCUGACGGAGCAAUGCCGCGUGAGGGAAGAAUGUCUUCGGGUUGUAAACCUCUGUCACCCGGGACGAAAUUUGACGGUACCGGGAGAGGAAGUCACGGCUAACUACGUGCCAGCAGCCGCGGUAACACGUAGGUGGCAAGCGUUAUUCGGAUUUACUGGGCGUAAAGGGUCCGCAGGGGGCCUGACAAGUCUGUCGUGAAAGGCCAAGGCUCAACCUUGGCACUGCGGUGGAAACAGUCGGGCUAGAGUCAGUGAGGGGCAGACGGAACACCUGGUGUAGCGGUGGAAUGCGUAGAUAUCAGGUGGGACACCGAUGGCGAAGGCGGUCUACUGGCACAUUACUGACCCUCAUGGACGAAAGCGUGGGUAGCAAACAGGAUUAGAUACCCUGGUAGUCCACGCCGUAAACUUUGAGAACUAGAUAUGGUGAGGCUGGCCCUCUCCGUGUCCCAGCUAACGCGUUAAGUUCUCCGCCUGGGGACUACGGCCGCAAGGCUAAAACUCAAAGGAAUUGACGG
rnacentral:rRNA from 1 species